UACGGGGGGAGCAAGCGUUGUUCGGAAUUAUUGGGCGUAAAGGGCGCGUAGGCGGUUUGACAAGUCUGAUGUGAAAUCUAUGGGCUCAACCCAUAGCCUGCAUUAGAAACUGUCGGGCUUGAGUAUGGGAGAGGUGAGUGGAAUUUCCGGUGUAGCGGUGAAAUGCGUAGAUAUCUGGAGGAACACCGGUGGCGAAGGCGGCGUCCUGGACCAACACUGACACUGAGGAGCGAAAGCCAGGGGAGCAAACGGG
rnacentral:rRNA from 1 species